rnacentral:rRNA from 1 species
AUUGAACGCUGGCGGCAUGCUUUACACAUGCAAGUCGAACGGUAACAGGCCUUCGGGUGCUGACGAGUGGCGAACGGGUGAGUAAUGCAUCGGAACGUGCCCAGAGGUGGGGGAUAACGCAGCGAAAGCUGUGCUAAUACCGCAUGUGAUCUGAGGAUGAAAGCGGGGGACCAAGCAGCAAUGUUUGGCCUCGCGCCUCUGGAGCGGCCGAUGUCAGAUUAGGUAGUUGGUGGGGUAAAGGCCUACCAAGCCGACGAUCUGUAGCUGGUCUGAGAGGACGACCAGCCACACUGGGACUGGGACACGGCCCAGACUCCUACGGGAGGGAGCAGUGGGGAAUUUUGGACAAUGGGCGGAAGCCUGAUCCAACAAUGCCGCGUGCGGGAAGAAGGCCUUCGGGUUUUAAACCGCUUUUGUACGGAACGAAAAGGCUCUGGCUAAUACCUGGGGCUGAUGACGGUACCGUAAGAAUAAGCACCGGCUAACUACGUG